UCCACUUUCCUUUCAGUCUCUCCAAUUUUUCCAAACCAAAUUUUCAAAUAACUCAUCAACCAUAUAUACUUUGAAAACCCACUGCAAGUUUAAACCACAAUUCAUAUUUUCCUCCCUGGAUAUCUCUCUACUUGUAGAAUCCAUUCCUCUCCCGUAUCUCUCUUUUCUUACCAUCUCAAGAAUGGUAAAAAAAAUUGAUUUUAUGCUAAAACAGAAAAAGACAGAUAAUUCAUCUUCUUUCCAAAAAUUGUUACCUGGUACCAGGGUGAGAAAAAUAUGUUGAAGCGUUUAAUUUCAUUUUGUUACCCUUCCAUCGAUCGGAUUGGGUCCUGUGAUUGAUAUUUGAAAUCUUGAGAGGAUUGAACUUUUGGCCUAUGACCAUAUAUUUUCUGGUGGAGAAAUGUACACUGUGCAAGGAAAAAUUGGAGCUUGGAUAAAAAAAAUAGAUACAUCUUGAAGGUUUAGUUUGCUUGGCUGAGCAUUUCUGGAUAUAUUAAUAGGUAUUCCGAAAAGAGUCAUAAGGUACAUGAUGAUUUCUUUUCACGUUUUGCUAUGAUAUGAUGUUAUCUCCAAUUAUUUCUUUCCAUCGUUUGUUUGUUUCUUUAGGAUUUCUCUGUUACUCCAUGUAGCCAUCCAUGUCCUGCUGGUAACUGGUAAAGUGGACUCAUUUUAUUUAGAAUUUGAACUUGAAGUCGACUUUGCCUACUAGGUAUUCCCAAACAUUCAGCUUCGCAGGUAAGGCUAUUUAACCAUCAUGUUUGGUUUGAAUAGAGAUUCCAAUGUCGUCUUUUCCUACGUUCUUCUUAUAACUUUCCUUUACAUGUUCUAAAUUGUUGAAAAUCAUCAACUUGACAUUUGUGAUGUAUUCCUCUACUUUUAUUAGAGUGAAGAAAUUCCUGCUUAUUUUACAAAAGUCACUCCAAGUACAUGCAUUACUUCUAUUAAUCCACCAUGUUCAUCCACUAACUUCUCAAACUUACAGAGAUACUUUUAGAUUAUGACGUUUCCUCUAAAAUAUUGAUUAGGAAUCUGUAAAGCUUGUUUAAUAUUGGAUAAUAAGAGAUAUGGAUUUCCCUAUUUUGAUAUAGAAGUUUACUAUAAGCACUAAUGUGAAGAUAUUGACAAAUUUUCAUGUGAAUAUACAGUGAAAGAAAAGAUCAUUAAAGUACACCAUCUAUGUAUGAGAACUCAUUUAGAAUUAUAUGUAGGAAUCCUUUCUGUAAUCCUUGACAUGGACAAACAAACCAUGUUCUUCACAUUUUCCUUAUUCAAGUAUGUAUAUUCAUCAGUUUUACAGGUCAGAGUAUUUUCUUCUUUAUUUUCAACCGUUGCACCAAAACAAACUAAAGAAACUAUGAAGUUGGGUGGCUUUAUCCAUGAUGAAGUGAAAACCAUUGACAACUGCUCUUUUUGUGUAUAUAUAUUAGUAUUCUUUAUUAAUUCUCUAACAGUAUGCAUGUUUUUUUAUUUAUAUGGCGCUUGAUAUCAGAUAUAUUACUGAUAUGCUUCUUAAAUGCAGAUAUGCAUAUUUCAUACCUGGUGUCUUCCAAUUCUAAGUUUUCCAAAAAUUAUCGUUUAUGUAGGAGUACAAUGUAUAAUUAAAUAUACAUACUUUCUAAGGGUGUGUGCUAUCUGCCCAUGAUAGAUCAAACUAUAUUUUGUUGCAAUGCAGUUGUAAAUUAUAAACACCUGAUCAUGUGAUUAAUUUGGAAGUUUUGACUGAUAGGCUAUGGUGUUCAAACUUUCUUAAAAAAUAUCCUCUGGUUCUUGUUGGAUCCUUCAAGAGUAAUGUAUUUUUGUUGGAUCGGAUAGAUGCAACAAUACUUUUGAAGUUAUUUAGGCUAAUUGUUUUUUUUUUGUUUCAGGUUAGAAUGAUGGAUGAUAAACACAAGUGAUGAAUGUAUACAAGCAAAUUCUCUGUCCUCCUUUUCUUGGUGAAUUUCAAAGUUUACAUCAAUUAGAUGUAUACAAAUGGUGGUGAUGGAGCUAUUGGGUUGAAAUAAAUUUUCUGGGAAGAGUCGGGCACCUGUAACGUAUUUUGAAUAUUAUAAAAAGAAUGCUUUUGCUUGUAUGUUGUUUCAGUGUGAUUUUAAACAUCUAUUAUAGCAAACAGAUAAGGGAUUAAUCGCUGGUACAAAAUAUUAGUAUUACUUGGCUUAAAAUGUUGGUCCGUACUUAGUACAGGCAAUAUUCAUCUAGUCUACUGUAUAGAA